UGUUAUUGUGACCUUCAAGGAUGCUGUGCU
rnacentral:piRNA from 1 species